GUGCUGCUGAGGAAGCCCAUAAUAGGACGAAACGGUCGUCCAGUAC
rnacentral:hammerhead_ribozyme from 1 species